UUUUGUAAAUUGGUAAUGGGCGCAGCCUGAUCCUUCCUGCCGCGUGUGUGAUGAAGGCCUUCCGGUUGUAAAGCUCUUUUUUUCGGGAAGAAAACGACGGUACCUGUACAAGAUGGACAGGACGGUACCGAAACAGCACGCCCCGGCUUAUGAUAUGCCCCCGGCCGCGAUAAUAAA
rnacentral:rRNA from 1 species